rnacentral:lncRNA from 1 species
GGCUGGUUCUCCUCCUCCCACAUGCGUCUUUCCUGCUUGUUGACUUGCAUUGGACUGAUUUAGAACCAUGUUUGAUGCAUCUAGACUGGCAAGCCCAAGACGGAAGAAUCUGUGGAGAUGAGACUGUGAUGUGACUUCCGAAGCCUUCAAGUCCUCAUCUGUAAAAGGAAAAAGAACAGGAGAACUCCUGGAAGGUCCAUACCAGACGCUGCAGACACUUGCUCAGUUGCCUGCGGAUGGAUUUGCUCUGGCUGCGGGUAAGGCACCAGGCUAAAUGCUUUACCCGGGACUCCUUCUUUGCUCGUCACCACCAUUUUGCAAGGGAGCAGCUGUUCGCCCCAUAUUACUGAUAAGAGACCAAGAUGAGUUAAGAAACUUGAUCAAGAUCACACCGUUAUGCGUCUAAGUGGCAGUAAGAACUUGUUUCACAGGAUGUCUCAGAUAGAUGCUAAUAAAGCCUUUUGGAUACAUAAAGGAAUAAAUUAUGGUUAAUCUCUACUUCAAAAUGAAAAAGAACUGAAAGGAAAUGGAAAGAAAGAAAAUUUUAACUACAGAAUUAAAUAAAUGAAAAGAAUUUCCUGUAACCUCUAGUCAAC